UACAGAGGUCCCAAGCGUUGUUCGGAUUCAUUGGGCGUAAAGGGUGCGUAGGCGGCGCGGUAAGUCGGGUGUGAAAUCUCGGGGCUUAACUCCGAAACUGCAUUCGAUACUGCCGUGCUUGAGGACUGGAGAGGAGACUGGAAUUUACGGUGUAGCGGUGAAAUGCGUAGAUAUCGUAAGGAAGACCAGUGGCGAGGGCGGGUCUCUGGACAGUUCCUGACGCUGAGGCACGAAGGUCAGGGGAGCAAACGGG
rnacentral:rRNA from 1 species